GUGCUUUCUUUGGUAGCACAUGUUCUAAAACUGGAAUGAUACCAAGAUUAGCAUGGUGCCAGAGCAAGAAUGACAUGCAAAUUAAUGAAUCAGUCCAUCUAUUU
ensembl:snRNA U6 U6 spliceosomal RNA